GAUGAACGCUGGCGGCGUGCCUAACACAUGCAAGUCGAACGGAGUCGUUUUGGAAAUCUCUUCGGAGAUGGAAUUCUCGACUUAGUGGCGGACGGGUGAGUAACGCGUGAGCAAUCUGCCUUUAAGAGGGGGAUAACAGUCGGAAACGGCUGCUAAUGCCGCAUAAAGCAUUAAAUUCGCAUGUUUUUGAUGCCAAAGGAGCAAUCCGCUUUUAGAUGAGCUCGCGUCUGAUUAGCUAGUUGGCGGGGUAACGGCCCACCAAGGCGACGAUCAGUAGCCGGACUGAGAGGUUGAACGGCCACAUUGGGACUGAGACACGGCCCAGACUCCUACGGGAGGCAGCAGUGGGGAAUAUUGCGCAAUGGGGGAAACCCUGACGCAGCAACGCCGCGUGAUUGAAGAAGGCCUUCGGGUUGUAAAGAUCUUUAAUCAGGGACGAAACAAAUGACGGUACCUGAAGAAUAAGCUCCGGCUAACUACGUG
rnacentral:rRNA from 1 species